UGUCCAUUCAGGCCUGAAGCUCCCCUACACUGGACUGGAGGCCCGCUAGGAGGCAUGACCUCUCCCGAGCUGAUCCACAAUUCGGAAGCACGUUGGUAUUUCAAAAUGAACACAGCACACAGGUUUAUAAGAGGAAUCUGGGACCAGGAGUAUAAAUUAGAAAUUGAUGCUACAGAGUCAGGCAUAGUCCCACUGUCCCAGGAAGGUGGACUUGGGGGUCUUUUUGCUUAUUCUUUGAGCAGAUAUUGGCUUCUUCCUUCUCUGUGCUGAGCACUGGGCAGGAAGGAAGGCUGGGAGCAAAGAUGGACACAGGCUUCUGUGGCUGUCCUUGAGGAGGUGUUUGCUCCAUGUAAUUAAGGACAGCGGAUCGCUGAGAGCUCUUUCCUCACUUUUCAAUCACAAACAUUCCAUUAGUCACACUGCCUUGGAAGACCUUUGACAGCCUCGUGGGUAGAAUGGGCGCUGACUGGCACGGUGCAGAAAAUUCCUGCUGUAGGCUAACGGCGUGGACAGUUUUGGAUGGAAAGGAGCUGUAUGCCCCGAGUGAGAGGUUGGGCAAAGACAGAAAUGGCCAGAGGGUUAGUUUAGGGUGAGGCAAGCGAGGCAGGCUUGUGCCAGUGCAGGAGCAGAGCUGAUCUUUAUUUAAAACUGUGAUAGUUUGUCUGUCAUGGAUCUCUUGGCAUGAACUUCGAUCUCAAGAAAUACCACAUUAAGAUAUUCUUUACCUUGAUUACCGAAUGUUCUGGCCCCUUUAAAGUUUGUACCCGAGCCUGGUGCCUCACUGCCCUCACCCUAGUUCUGGCUCUGCGUGCACUUACUUUCUUUACUCUUCAUCCCUGAAACCUGGCAGAGAUCAGGCCCUCCAGGAAGCUGCAGCAUGUUAUUCCUCCAGUUUCAUAAAAUUCCAGACCACAUUUCUGGGCACCUUUGUCAAAGAAGCGCCAAGAUAUGUGAGGGUCUCUCUACAAGACCGAGUGCCAGGGCUCCUUGAAGGCAGUGUGGCUGGUCCGUCUCCACCUAUGAACUCACCUGUGGCUUUUGAGAAAUCCCUUAAGCAAUCUGGUCUCCACUUCUCCAUUGGCAAAAUGAGGGGAUGGGACAGAUGUUCUUACCUGAGGCUCAGUCUUCUGUGUUGCUCUGCAUUCCCUGGUGGACCGUGGGGGAGAGACCAUGGCAGGCACAUCCCCAGGCCAGGCCCUCUUGAGAGUCAUGGACUGAGAAAAAGUCAGUAUGAAAAACCAUUGGUGUUUCAAACGAAAGUGCUGAAGUGAUGUUCUCUGGGUGUGAGCAAGGGAGGGAAUGUUUAUUGGUCUCUCAAACUUCUUCUGAGAGCAUACGACUUGUGCUAGCUGUUGAGGGAAGCACAGAGGGGGUUUAGGGAGAGCUCGCACCUGCCCUGGGCUGGUGGGCAGAGUCUUGGGGAUGGAUUGCUGUCCGGAGUGAGAGGGAGAGGAUGACACAGGCUAAAUGGUGUGUGGAAAGUAAGUCCAGACAUGUAUUUUAAGGACAAUCUGGCGAGGAUUCUUGGAAAUGGGGAGUCUUGAAGGAUGUGCUUCUAAUGCUGGCAAAUGCUGUGAACCCAAAGAGGAGCCUGGGCCAUUGGUCAGGGUCUCUGAAGAAAGCAGAUGGAAGGAAGCAGAUGGUGCCCGCAAAUGGAAAAAUCAAUCAGUCAAUAAGUGGACUAGUUAUAGCAGUUCAGGGAUGGUUAAGGGAAAAUCAGCAAGGGACAGGGAAGCACUUUGGGACAGCAUUGGAGAGCCUUUACCAUCCCGGACCUGAACGAGAAGGGGAGAGGAUGCUCCAGGACCUAGAAGCAGCUGUCAGUGUAGAUGAAGGCCAGGACAGGAGCCGAGGCUUUCAGGACCAGAGCAGCUGGGGUCAGAGUUGGGAGUCAGCCUUGCUCCACUCUCUUCCGCACUCCCAUCUCUUGUCGGCAUUUCCACGGGAUGGACCUUGAGUGAUAUCGUUCGGACAGGGCAGUGUCCCGGGGCCCAGACCAGGGUGGAGAGGGAGUCUGGAGGUAGCUCACUGGGCUGGAUGGUGGGGUAAUCAAGUGAAACUUCUUCUGUGCCCAUGAUUGCAUGGUUAAAGGGUGGAGGAGGAGCGUGAGCCUUCACACCCUUGCUCACUUACUGCUCACAACACCCAGCUGGGAGUGCUCAUUACCUCUGUUUUUCAAGCGAGGAUUGACAGUUGUCUCAGCCAGCUGCAAGUCCGCGAGUGUUUCUAGUGGGGGUGGGGAGGGGAGUUUGACCUCCUGGGGCCCCUGCAGGGGGAUUUGGUUCUGCCGCUGUGCUGUGAUCUCAAGGCUCUGUCAUGGAGCCCAUCAGGAGUAUGACAGCAAAGUCGGUGCAGUUCAGGCUUUGACUUCUCCUUUUAUCACCAAGAUUUUUUGGCAGAACAUAGAAGGAAUUCCAGCCCACAGGGAGUUGCCCCAGAAAUUAGAUUCAAGAGACAUGUUCAAACCAAUCUGCAGCAUAUAAAUUUAUAUGAAGAAACUGAUCUUCCCAGAAACAAGGAGGUUCAUGUCAUCCCACCAGGGCUUCGACUUGCUGCAUUGAAUAACCAGGAACUGACUUUCUGGUUAUGGCUGGAUAAAAGCACUGGGUGAUGGAUGGGGUCAGGGAUGUUUCACAACAGCCACUCAGGAGACCUGGGAACAAAACCAGUCACUUACCGGAGAGGCCGUUCAUGGACCAGUUGCUCAUGUUCCCAGAUCCAGUGACCCUUCUCCUGGAUGUUGCUGAUUUUUAGAAGAAAAGCCAGUGGGCUCCCAGACAAAGUUAAAAAAGGACACUGAGCUGUGGAGGGGUUUUGGUAGCAGCAAUUAUUUUUCAAACUGGGAAGAUAUGAAUGAUAAAGGGACUGUGUCAGCUGCGGGGCUGUAGAUUCCAUGCCUUUUCCUAAACACUAUGAUUCAACCCUCCCACUGGAGUCUGCCUGGUGGGUCACUUCACGCCCAGAGCCAUGAAGCUCCACGUGGAACAAGGGAUCUGGAAGGACACAUAUGGAGAUGUUACUAGUGACUGCAUUUCAGUCUUGGGGUUACGGGAAUAUUUUCUUCCCUUGUUUUCCAAAUGUCCUUUGAUGACUUUGAUGAAAAAGAAAAGACUAUUUUGUUUUUUUUUUUAACCAUAGUAGUCUUGCUGUUUUUUAAUGUGCAUGUCAAACUGCUUGAUAUCAUGUGAACUAAUUCUGUUAAUUCAACAUUUUUUAUUGUCACACAUGAGAAAUGGAAAUACUGAAAUUAAUAAAGAAGAAUAAUUUAAAAUUUCCUUUAAAAUCAUUACUAUGUGCUGGAUGCUGGUAGGAAAAUCUUUCUAAUUUAAAACUUUGAGAAACAUAUUUGUGAACUAAAAUAAAUAGAAUAAAUAGAAAGGAAUGGAGAUUAUUGUCCAUGGUAUUAUAAAAUAUGUGGGUAUGGUUCAUCCCAACCUUUAUUUAAUCACUUGUUUAUUCAUUGAACAUUUUAUGUGAACUUGGCCAUUGGACGCACUGAUGACCCAAGUACAAAGUCCCUGUCCUCAGGGAGCUUACAGUCUAGGUAAAUUUUCUAUCAGAAUGUAUUCUUGUCCUACUCUUUGCAACCCCAUGGACUGAAGCCCACCAGGCUCCUCUGUCCAUGGAAUUUUCCAGACAAGAAUACUGGAGUGGGUUGCCAUUCCCUUCUCCAGAUUCUAGGAU
ensembl:lncRNA